CCCUUAGAUGUUCUGGGCCGCACGCGCGCUACACUGACUACUUCAACGAGUUGUUUCCUUGAUCGAAAGGUCUGGGUAAUCUUUGAAAGGUAGUCGUGAUGGGGAUAGAUCCUUGCAAUUUUUGAUCUUCAACGAGGAAUUCCUAGUAAACGCAAGUCAUCAGCUUGCAUUGAUUACGUCCCUGCCCUUUGUACACACCGCCCGUCGCGCCUACCGAUUGAAUGGUCCGGUGAAUCUUUAGGACUGUGGCUGAGGCCUUGCCUUGUGCGGGUCUGGCCGUGGGAAUUUAGUUAAACCUUACCAUUUAGAGGAAGGUGAAGUCGUANCA
rnacentral:rRNA from 1 species